rnacentral:lncRNA from 1 species
AUGCCAAUCGCUGGACUUACAUCAGACUCCACGCAACAAACACAAACAGGAAACCGACUGCCAAUCGCUGGACUUACAUCAGACUCCACACACACAAACACAGGAAAUCGACUACCAAUCGCUGGACUUACGUCAGACUCCAAGCAAACAAGAGGUUAACCGGACGCUGAGUCGUCAAAAACAACAAAAAAGGUGAACAAACAAGCUAACAGGGAGUCUGGUACUCGAGCCUGCUAUCUGUCAAGCAAACAC